rfam:Blautia sp. YL58, complete genome.
AAGUUUCAUUGGGGGAGCUUGUAGCGGCAGGCUGAGAGGAAGUCACCAACUUCGACCCGUUAACCUGAUAUGGGUAAUGCCAGCGUAGGGAGAGAGCAAGAUUCCGGGA